AUUGAACGCUGGCGGCAGGCCUAACACAUGCAAGUCGAACGAGCGGCGGACGGGUGAGUAAUGUAUGGGAAACUGCCCGAUCGAGGGGGCUCACUACUGGAAAAGGUAGCUAAUACCGCAUCCUCUCAGCUGGGCCAAUAUGGGAUUAGCUUGUGGGUGGGGUAACGGCUCACCUAGGCGACGAUCCCUAGCUGGUCUGAGAGGAUGAACAGCCACACUGGGACUGAGACACGGCCCAGACUCCUACGGGAGGCAGCAGUGGGGAAUAUUGGACAAGGGGGGCAAGCCUGAUGCAGCCAGGCCGGGUGUAUGAAGAAGGCCUUCGGGUUGUAAAGUACUUUCAGCGGGGAGGCGGUACCCGCAGAAGAAGCACCGGCUAACUCCGUGCCAGCAGCCGCGGUAAUUC
rnacentral:rRNA from 1 species